GGUUCCAUGGUGUAAUGGUGAGCACUCUGGACUCUGCAUCCAGCAGUCUGAGUUCGAAUCUCAGUGGGACCU